rnacentral:rRNA from 1 species
GACGAACGCUGGCGGCGUGCUUAACACAUGCAAGUCGAGCGGAAAGGCCACUUCGGUGGUACUCGAGCGGCGAACGGGUGAGUAACACGUGAGUAAUCUGCCCCCCACUUUGGGAUAGCCACCGGAAACGGUGAUUAAUACCGGAUAUGACCUCGCACCGCAUGGUGUGUGGUGGAAAGUUUUUCGGUGGGGGAUGUGCUCGCGGCCUAUCAGCUUGAUGGUGGGGUAAUGGCCUACCAUGGCUUCGACGGGUAGCCGGCCUGAGAGGGUGACCGGCCACACUGGGACUGAGACACGGCCCAGACUCCUACGGGAGGCAGCAGUGGGGAAUAUUGGACAAUGGGCGGAAGCCUGAUCCAGCAACGCCGCGUGAGGGAUGACGGCCUUCGGGUUGUAAACCUCUUUCAGUACAGACGAAGCGAAAGUGACGGUAUGUACAGAAGAAGCACCGGCCAACUACGUGCCAGCAGCCGCGGUAAUACGUAGGGUGCGAGCGUUGUCCGGAAUUAUUGGGCGUAAAGGGCUCGUAGGCGGUUUGUCGCGUCGGGAGUGAAAACACACAGCUUAACUGUGUGCUGGCUUCCGAUACGGGCAGACUAGAGGUAUGCAGGGGAGAACGGAAUUCCUGGUGUAGCGGUGAAAUGCGCAGAUAUCAGGAGGAACACCGGUGGCGAAGGCGGUUCUCUGGGCAUUACCUGACGCUGAGGAGCGAAAGUGUGGGGAGCGAAACAGGAUCAGACACCCUGGUAAUCCACCCCGUAAAUGCUGGGCGCUAGGUGUUGUGACCUAUUCCAGGGGUUCGGUGCCGCAGGUAACGCAUUUAGCGCCCAACCUGGGGAGUAUGGGAGCAAGGCUAAAAGUCAAAGGAAUUGAGGAGGGGCCGCACAAGCGGCGGAGCGUGCAGAUUAAUUAGAUGCAAGGCGAAGAACGUAACCUGGGUUUGACAUAUACCGGAAAGCGUUAGAGAUAAGGGCCCCUUUGGUCUGUAUACAGAUGGUGCACGGCUGUCGUCAGCUCGUGUCGUGAGAUGUUGGGUUAAGUCGCGCAACUAGCGCAACCAUCGUUCUAUGUCGCCAGCACGUAAUGGUGGGGACUCAUAGGAGACUGCCGGGGUCAACUCGGAGGAAGGUGGGGAGGACGUCAAGUCAUCAUGCCCCUUAUGUCCAGGGCUUCACGCAUGCUACAAUGGCCGGUACAAAGGGCUGGCGAUCCCGUAAGGGGGAGGGAAUCCCAAAAAGCCGGUCUCAGUUCGGAUUGGGGUCUGCAACUCGACCCCAUGAAGUCGGAGUCGCUAGUAAUCGCAGAUCAGCAACGCUGCGGUGAAUACGUUCCCGGAGCGU